GAUCAAGCUACUAAGGGCACGAGGUGAAUGCCUUGGCUCCAGAAGUCGAUGAAGGACGUAGUAAGUUGCGAUAAGCCACGAGAAGCGACAAACACGCGCUGAUCCGUGGAUUUCCGAAUGGGGAAACCCGGCCAAUUA
rnacentral:rRNA from 1 species